AUGUUCCAAUUCCUUUGUACUUGGUCUUUUAACUUGCGGAUGGAGACUGCUGUGCAGGAAGUACCUCUUCUAGUUUGUCUUGAAAUCAUACAAAAAUUAGGAAGUCUUCACUUAUCAAUGUAUACAUGCAGGCAAGGGUGCCAUUGCCUAAGAUUAACCGAUGGCUUUGACGAAGGGUGCCACUUCAGUAUUCUUCAGAGAAUGGGAAGCAAUGUUGGAGGUAGUCGCAAAGAUGGGAGCGAUAUCUAUGGUGGUGAGCGUAAUAUGAGGCCAAAGAGUAGAACAUAUUUCUCCAUGUGA
rnacentral:rRNA from 1 species